rnacentral:rRNA from 1 species
CGUCUAUAUACGUAUAGCAUAUCAAUAAGCGGAGGAAAAGAAACUAACUAGGAUUCCCUUCAGUAACGGCGAGUGAAGCGGGAAGAGCUCAAAUUUGAAAUCUUCAAGGUUUACCUUUACGAAUUGUAGUUUAAAGAAGUGUUUUCUGUUGGAGUUUCGGUAAAAGUUCUUUGGAAUAGGACAUCAUAGAGGGUGAGAAUCCCGUAUUUGACCGUUACUUUCCAGCUGUGUGAUACACUUUCAAAGAGUCGGAUUGUUUGGGAAUGCAGUCCAAAAUGGGUGGUAAAUUUCAUCUAAAGCUAAAUACUGGCGAGAGACCGAUAGCGAACAAGUACCGUGAGGGAAAGAUGAAAAGAACUUUGAAAAGAGAGUUAAACAGUACGUGAAAUUGUCAAAAGGGAAGCGUUUGACACCAGUGUUGUUUUCUCGAAAAUCAAUUAAAAAAUGGCAUGGAUUUUGUGUUGUAUUGACUUCAUCAGCUUUCUGCACUCUUUUCUUGUCUUUUUUAAUGCACUUUUCGUUUAACAAGUCAACAUCAAUUUCUUUUGCUGUAAAAGGAGUCAUUGGAAGGUGGCUUUCUUUUCGGAGAAAGUGUUUAUAGCCUUUGACUUCUGCAAUCGGAGAGAUUGAGGUCUGCAGCGUAGAUCCUUCGGGGUUAGAUGCAUUUGUGCUAAGUUAUAGCCUUUCAUAGACAACUUGUUGACUAUGAUCAGUCAUGUAGCUUACUCGCUUAUGUCAUUUUACCUACGCUUAGGAUGUUGAUCUGUAGUGCGUGCGC